AGAGUUUGAUCAUGGCUCAGGAUGAACGCUGGCGGCGUGCUUAACACAUGCAAGUCGAACGAGGUCCAACCUUCGGGUGAAGACCGAGUGGCGAACGGGUGAGUAACACGUGGGCAAUCUGCCCUCCACACUGGGAUAACUCAGGGAAACUUGAGCUAAUACCGGAUACUCCGUCGAGGUCGCAUGGCCAUGACGGGAAAGCUCCGGCGGUGGAGGAUGAGCCCGCGGCCCAUUAGCUUGUUGGCGGGGUAAUGGCCCACCAAGGCAACGAUGGGUAGCCGAGCUGAGAGGCUGAUCGGCCACACUGGGACUGAGACACGGCCCAGACUCCUACGGGAGGCAGCAGUGGGGAAUCUUGCGCAAUGGGCGAAAGCCUGACGCAGCAACGCCGCGUGCGGGAUGAAGGCUCUCGGGUCGUAAACCGCUUUCAGCAGGGAUGAAACUGACAGUACCUGCAGAAGAAGCCCCGGCUAAAUACGUGCCAGCAGCCGCGGUAAUACGUAUGGGGCAAGCGUUAUCCGGAUUCAUUGGGCGUAAAGAGCGCGUAGGCGGCUUGUUAAGUCAGAUGUGAAAACUGGGGGCUCAACCCGCAGCGUGCAUCUGAACUGGCAGGCUUGAGUCUGGUAGAGGAAAGUGGACUUCCCAGUGUAGCGGUGAAAUGCGCAGAUAUGGGAGGACACAGUGGCGAGCGCUUUCUGGGCCACGACUGACGCUGAGGCGCGAA
rnacentral:rRNA from 1 species